AGAGACAGCAGUCGCCGCGGUAAUACGGAGGGUGCAAGCGUUAUCCGGAUUUAUUGGGUUUAAAGGGUCCGUAGGCGGACUUAUAAGUCAGUGGUGAAAGCCUGUCGCUUAACGAUAGAACUGCCAUUGAUACUGUAAGUCUUGAGUAUAUUUGAGGUAGCUGGAAUAAGUAGUGUAGCGGUGAAAUGCAUAGAUAUUACUUAGAACACCAAUUGCGAAGGCAGGUUACCAAGAUAUAACUGACGCUGAGGGACGAAAGCGUGGGUAGCGAACAGGAUUAGAUACCCGAGUAGUCCUGUCUCUUAUACA
rnacentral:rRNA from 1 species